rnacentral:piRNA from 1 species
UUGUAUUGGAAACUAUAAGUUUCUAGUAA